rnacentral:rRNA from 1 species
AGGACGAACGCUGGCGGCGUGCCUAAUACAUGCAAGUCGAACGGUCUUUCUAUGGAAGCUUGCUCCACUGAAAAGAUAGUGGCGAACGGGUGAGUAACACGUGGGUAACCUGCCCAUAAGAGGGGGAUAACAUCCGGAAACGGGUGCUAAUACCGCAUAGUUUUCUUGAUCGCAUGAUCGGGAAAGGAAAGACGGCCUUUGUGCUGUCGCUUAUGGAUGGACCCGCGGCGUAUUAGUUAGUUGGUGAGGUAACGGCUCACCAAGACGAUGAUACGUAGCCGACCUGAGAGGGUGAUCGGCCACAUUGGGACUGAGACACGGCCCAAACUCCUACGGGAGGCAGCAGUAGGGAAUCUUCCGCAAUGGACGAAAGUCUGACGGAGCAACGCCGCGUGAGUGAAAGAAGGUUUUCGGAUCGUAAAACUCUGUUGUCAGAGAAGAACAAGUUGGAGAGUAACUGCUCCAGCCUUGACGGUAUCUGACCAGAAAGCCACGGCUAACUACGUGCCAGCCGCCGC